rnacentral:rRNA from 1 species
AAUAGAUACCCAGGUAGUCCACGCCGUAAACGAUGAGUGCUAAGUGUUAGGGGGGUUUCCGCCCCUUAGUGCUGCAGCUAACGCAUUAAGCACUCCGCCUGGGGAGUACGGUCGCAAGACUGAAACUCAAAGGAAUUGACGGGGGCCCGCACAAGCGGUGGAGCAUGUGGUUUAAUUCGAAGCAACGCGAAGAACCUUACCAGGUCUUGACAUCCCGCUGACCGCUAUGGAGACAUAGCUUUCCCUUCGGGGACAGCGGUGACAGGUGGUGCAUGGUUGUCGUCAGCUCGUGUCGUGAGAUGUUGGGUUAAGUCCCGCAACGAGCGCAACCCUUGUCCUUAGUUGCCAUCAUUCAGUUGGGCACUCUAAGGAGACUGCCGUACAAAUACGGAGGAAGGUGGGGAUGACGUCAAAUCAUCAUGCCCCUUAUGACCUGGGCUACACACGUGCUACAAUGGACGGUACAAACGGUUGCGAAGUCGCGAGACGGAGCCAAUCCGAGAAAGCCGUUCUCAGUUCGGAUUGCAGG